AAGUGGUCCUUUCUAAACUAUACACGCGGACUUUAACCUGUUCAGUUUUUCUCUGCUUGGUCGAAAGAGGUCAGAGGAGGUUGGAGGGGCGGCGGCGCCGGGCACCACCGAUAUGUAUACAAUCCCAUUUCAUGGGCUUCUUUCCGUUUUCACGAUACAGAAGUUACAGUACGAUCAAAACCCCUCUCUCCAAAUUCACACAAACGGUCUCGACCUCACUCUUCCCUUCAAAUCUCACAAGCUUAUUCCCCGAACAAUCCACCACCACCACUUCCGCUGCCGCUGAACCCAACAAAAAUGAAGAUGAUAUUCAUCAUCAAAGGGUCAAACCCACCAAAAGCAAGAAAGCCCGAAAAAUGGCCCUGCUUAUCAAUGCAAAGCCCUGGUCAGCCCAGCUUGAAUCCUCCCUUUCCACCCACACUCCCCUCUCCGAGACCAGCUUCCUUCAAACCCUCCGCCUCAUCAAGUCCCCUGCCAACGCCCUCCAAUUCUUCAACUGGUCUCGUAACACGGGUUUCACUCACAGCGAGCACUCCUACUUCUUCAUGCUCGAAAUUCUUGGUCGGGCCCGGAACCUCAAUUCCGCUCGAAACUUCCUCCUGUCUAUUCCAACAAAAUCCAACAAUGCUAUACCACUCACUGACAAGUUUUUCAACAGCUUGAUUCGGAGCUAUGGUAAUGCCGGGCUUUUCAAGGAAUCAAUUAAGUUGUUCGAAACCAUGAAAUCAAUGGGUAUUUCGCCUUCUACAUUUACAUUUAAUAAUUUGUUUUUUAUUUUGCUCAAAAGAGGUCGGACUGGAAUGGUUUUUGAGUUCUAUGAUGAAAUGCUUAGGACUUACGGUGCGAAGCCCGAUUUAUACACGUUUAAUAUAUUGAUAAGAGGGUUUUGUAUGAACUCGAGGAUGGAUGAUGCAUUUAGGUUCUUUAAAGAAAUGGAGUUGUUUAAUUGCAAACCGGAUUUGAUAACCUAUAACACGAUUGUUGAAGGGUUGUGUAGAGCAGGGAAAGUGACAAUUGCGCACAAUGUGGUAAAGGGUAUGUGUCUAAAGGGAGAAAAUUUGAUGCCGAAUGUUGUUACUUACACCACUUUGGUUAGAGGGUAUUGUAAGAAGCAAGAGAUUGACAUAAUGUUAGAUGUAUUGAGGGAAAUGGUUGAUAGUGGGAUUAAGCCAAACGAGAUCACUUAUAAUACAAUUAUAAAUGGGCUUUGCGAAGCCCAAAUGUUUGAUAAGAUAAAAGAUCUGUUAGAAGGGUGGCGUGGAGAGCCUGGAGGAUUUGCGCCUGAUACAUGCACUUUUAACAUGUUGAUGAAUGCUCAUUGCAAAAUGGAUGAUUUGAGUGAAGCAUUUAAAGUUUUUGAGAAAAUGAAGGAGCUAAAGGUCCAACAAGAUUCAGCCUCGUACAGUGUGCUAAUCCGGGGUUUGUGCCAGAAGUUGGAUUUUGGGAGGGCAGAAGAGUUGCUUGACGAGUUAUUGGCAAAGGAGAUUCUAUUAUGUGAUGAUGGGUGCACUCCCCUUGCUGCUGCAUACAAUCCCAUUUUUGAAUAUCUUUGUCGAAACGGGAAAACGAAGAAAGCUGAGCAAGUUCUCAGGCAGCUAAUGAGUAGAGGAAUUCAGGACCCUCCGUCAUAUAGAACUUUGAUCUUGGGGCAUUGCAAGGAAGGAACCUGCAUAGCUGGGCACAAGCUCUUGGUCUUGAUGUUGAGAAGACAUUUUGUGCCUGAUCGUGAGACUUAUGACUCCCUGAUUGAAGCUUUGUUGCAAAAUGGUGAACCAACCCUUGCCCAUGAUACUUUAAAAAGGAUGUUGAUAAGCUCAUAUCUUCCAAGAUCAUCUACUUUCCAUCGUAUUCUCACGGAACUUGUCAAGCUGGGUUCUGCUCUUGAAUCUGCUAGCUUAGUGAUAUUAAUGUUAGAGAAAGAGAUCAGACAAAACAUCAAUCUGUCAACAGACACUGUUAAGCUUCUCUUCAUGCGUGGCUUACGGGAUAAGGCAUUUGAGGUGACUAGAAGUCUUUAUGAGAGUGGUUAUGUUUUGAGUAUGGAAGAAUUAAUUUCAUUCCUUUGUGAUGGCAGAAAGUUGAUGGAGGCAUAUGAAUUGGUUAGUUUUAGUCUGAAAAACGAUCAUAAUAUUGACGUGGCUAUAUGCAGUACUGUUUUGACAAGUCUUUGUAAAGCCCAUAAAGCAUCUGAAGCAUUUGACCUUUACUAUAAGAUGAUAGAGAAGGGAAUUCAACAACCUUUGGGCUGCGUAGAAGACUUGAGAAGUAUUCUUGAAGCUGAAGGGAAAUUGAAGGAAGCUGAAUUUGUUACUAAGAGGAUGCCAAGUCCAUCGCAGUUGGAUGGAUCUGGUUAAGACUUGAGGUUAAAGCUGAGAUUUUGAUACUUGUAGUACUUUCGUUUCAAUGACUUUUCUUUAUAAGGAGUUGCACAGCCCUUUGUAAUUCUUUCUGCGUUCUCUUGCUGGCCAUUGAUCAAGAAUCUUUUAGAUGUACUAAUCAUCCGAAAACCACACAUGUAUGUUUUUCAAGCAGGAUUAUAUGUUAAAGACUAUUUACAUAACGUGAAAUUAUGUGGGUCGGGGGUAGGUUUAUGGGUCAAACCCUCCCAAACCGACCCAGUCCGAAAUAAAAAAUGUGAAACUUUUCUGCAAUCAAGCGUGAAGAUCCUUCUUUCACUCACAAUGUUGAAACCUAGCCUGCCUUGUGGCGAAAUUGGCGGCCACUGAUCUGAAAGUCACCCCUAUUUUUAUUUCUUUCAAGGUAAUUUCUCAACUUUCUCAUAUUUUCAAGAUAAUUUACUGGAUUUUUACUACAUUUUCCGUCUAAUUCUGAUUGAAUUUAGAGCCAUAAAUAAU
rnacentral:lncRNA from 1 species